AUGAACAGCCUCAAGGACGAGGAUUCCGGAUCCUAUUUCUGUGGGCAGGGGCUGGAAUACGUCGCCAGUGUCAACAAAAACGGCGGCUGGAGCGGCCACGCGCCGUCGUUGAAGGGCCGGGUGACGAUCUCCAGGGACAACGGGCAGAGCUCGGUGACGCUGACCAUGAACAGCCUCAAGGACGAGGAUUCCGGAUCCUAUUUCUGUGUGAAAUAUCCCCAUACCGGUGAUGCUUAUGUUGACGACCCCGGGCUCCGGGCGGCCGUGACCCUGCUGGAGUCCGGGGGGGACCUCCAGCCCCCCGGGGGGUCCCUGCGCCUCCUCUGCCGAGGGUCCGGCUUUGAUUUCGGCAGUUUUGGGAUGAACUGGAUCCACCAGAGGCCCGGGCAGGCGCUGGAAUACAUCGCGAGUAUCACCAACAAUGGUGGUUGGAUCGGCUACGCGCCGUCGUUGAAGGGCCGGGUGACGAUCUCCAGGGACAACGGGCAGAGCUCGGUGACGCUGACCAUGAACAGCCUCAAGGACGAGGAUUCCGGAUCCUAUUUCUGUGGGAAAUCUUCUGGUGCUGGUGCUGGUGCUCUUUGA